CCGGGAAUUAUUGGGCGUAAAGAGCUCGUAGGCGGUUUGUCGCGUCUGCUGUGAAAUCCCGAGGCUCAACCUCGGGUCUGCAGUGGGUACGGGCAGACUAGAGUGCGGUAGGGGAGAUUGGAAUUCCUGGUGUAGCGGUGGAAUGCGCAGAUAUCAGGAGGAACACCGAUGGCGAAGGCAGAUCUCUGGGCCGUAACUGACGCUGAGGAGCGAAAGCAUGGGGAGCGAACAGGAUUAGAUACCCUGGUAGUCCAUGCCGUAAACGUUGGGAACUAGAUGUGGGGACCAUUCCACGGUCUCCGUGUCGCAGCUAACGCAUUAAGUUCCCCGCCUGGGGAGUACGGCCGCAAGGCUAAAACUCAAAGGAAUUGACGGGGGCCCGCACAAGCGGCGGAGCAUGCGGAUUAAUUCGAUGCAACGCGAAGAACCUUACCAAGGCUUGACAUAUACCGGAAACAUGCAGAAAUGUGUGCCCCGCAAGGUCGGUAUACAGGUGGUGCAUGGUUGUCGUCAGCUCGUGUCGUGAGAUGUUGGGUUAAGUCCCGCAACGAGCGCAACCCUCGUUCUAUGUUGCCAGCACGUAAUGGUGGGAACUCAUAGGAGACUGCCGGGGUCAACUCGGAGGAAGGUGGGGAUGACGUCAAAUCAUCAUGCCCCUUAUGUCUUGGGCUUCACGCAUGCUACAAUGGCCGGUACAAAGGGCUGCGAUACCGUAAGGUGGAGCGAAUCCCAAAAAGCCGGUCUCAGUUCGGAUUGAGGUCUGCAACUCGACCUCAUGAAGUCGGAGUCGCUAGUAAUCGCAGAUCAGCAACGCUGCGGUGAAUACGUUCCCGGGCCUUGUACACACCGCCCGUCAAGUCAUGAAAGUCGGUAACACCCGAAGCCAGUGGCCUAACCGCAAGGGAGGAUG
rnacentral:rRNA from 1 species